rnacentral:rRNA from 1 species
GAGUUUGAUCAUGGCUCAGAUUGAACGCUGGCGGCAGGCCUAACACAUGCAAGUCGAGCGGUAACAGAAAGUAGCUUGCUACUUUGCUGACGAGCGGCGGACGGGUGAGUAAUGCUUGGGAACAUGCCUUUAGGUGGGGAACAACAGUUGGAAACGACUGCUAAUACCGCAUGAUGUCUACGGACCAAAGGGGGCUUCGGCUCUCGCCUAAAGAUUGGCCCAAGUGGGAUUAGCUAGUUGGUGAGGUAAUGGCUCACCAAGGCAACGAUCCCUAGCUGGNUUGAGAGGAUGAUCAGCCACACUGGAACUGAGACACGGUCCAGACUCCUACGGGAGGCAGCAGUGGGGAAUAUUGCACAAUGGGCGCAAGCCUGAUGCAGCCAUGCCGCGUGUGUGAAGAAGGCCUUCGGGUUGUAAAGCACUUUCAGUCAGGAGGAAAGGUUAGUAGUUAAUACCUGCUAGCUGUGACGUUACUGACAGAAGAAGCACCGGCUAACUCCGUGCCAGCAGCCGCGGUAAUAC